CUAUAGGCCUAGUAGUUGUGACGCGGGUCCAUUUGAGUCAGUAAUAAUGCUACCACUGUACUUUUUAUCCCAGAGUAAACUCACGUAUACAUGUUACCCCUCCCUCCAGGCUUCAGUAAAAAAAAGUCCCCUGUUGGCUUCGCUCGAAAAAGAAAAAAGGUCCAUCCCCACCAGGCUACACAUCCAGAUGCGCCACCGCGCUACCGCCUCCGAUUCGCAGCCGGGGAUGGAAGAUGUCGUUGCUGGCCUUCACAGAAGAUGCAAGCCCUAAUCAUGGCGAUUGGCGAUCUGGGGUGGACCAAGAAGCAGGGUCGAACUCUUUGAGUUGGGUGUUAGGUCGUUGGUAGCAGGCCAUCCAUGUCACGGCGGCAUUGAGAACAAAAAAAUGGUUGCUGCAGGGAGGCUGAUUGUGAUGGAUCUGAGGCAGAGGAUACACACCGGCCAUGGUCCAUGAAAAGUAUAUAUCGGAGUAUAUCCGUAUAAGCAUAUUGGGGGAGAAAUAGCUAUUUGCGGCCCUUUUAGUUGCUCAUGUUUCUGGAUUUGUACCAACGAGAUGGCUAUGCUAUUGAAGAUUUUCUCAUGGACGUCUUAAAUUGAAAAGGCCAUAAGCUACCAGUUCACAUGAUAAUUUGGUAGCUGAAACUUUAUUAUUUUUUGGCUGCAAAAUAAGUAUGAAUUUUCAAAAUUAGACAAAAGUCUAAAAAUUUAGAAGUGUGUACUGUAAAUAAAGAAACCACCUUUUUAUCAAGCAUGUGAUGCUUGUUCGUUCCAUGUUUUAACAUGGUGCCCACCUCAUCGUCCAUCAAUUCUUGUGUAAGAUUUAUAGUUAGAGAAUUGUAAACAUGAUACUUUAUUUUUAAAAGAAAACACCUUUACCUGUAAAAGAUCAAUAAAAGUGCAUGUAUGAAUGUAUUUGAAAAGAAUUACAGUUUGUGUCGCACUCUUAUCAGAUGAUAAGAUUCUUCUUAUCUUGGUAGCUGUCAAGUACUCAUACUAUAUCUACGUAAAUAAAUAGUCUGUCUUUACUAUUCAUAAGCUACUAAUCAGUCGAUCUUUUGGAUAAAUUCCUUGUUCACUUAGGCCUCCAUUUUCCAUUGGCAAUAUCAGAGUCUUCAUCUUUAAGAGUUGCAAUUACUUUUUACUUUUGCAUGCACCAGUUUUUUGUUCUCGCAGGUAUUUUUGCUUUCUUUCUACAACACUUGUCCCGGUGCGUCCAUCCUCCACGUCAUCUAAUAAUACAAUACAUCUUCGUUUAGCAUAGUCAUUGAGGGGUCCAUGUGAUGAUGAUAUUUGUCUCAAUGCCUAUCUUUGUUCAGCAUAGUCCCAUUAAUAUAGUGUGGUUCUUUUUUCUUAGGCACCAGUUCACAUAACCUUUUCCUUGGUCGGUCAUCAUUAUUCUGUGACUGCAAAAUGAAAUGCAUUUAAAAAUAAUACAUGCUUAAAAAUCUAAAAAUGUGUAUGGUGGAAACAUUAAUCUCCCUUUUAGCUCGCAUGUCUUGCUUCUUCGUUUUUUGUUCCAACACGGUGUCCACUUUGUCAUCUAUCAACUGUUUGGCAUACUGCAAGAUAAGCCAGUGAGGAAGAACAGAAAAGAUAGUACUUAGUUAAUUAUUUUGAUGAAUUAAAUGCACCUUUACCUCCUCAGCUUUAUUGUUCAAGUACAACAUCUCUAGCGAGGCAUAAAUCUUCUUUUUACUACCUAGUUUUGCUUGCCAAAAAUAAGAUUACUGCUGUUGAGCUUGAAUCUAAAGAUAAUUUAUCCUCGCCAUUAGAUGACAGACAUCGCACAUCUGAGUCUUCAUCGUUAAAUGUUGUAUUUUUGACUUUUGAUUCGAUGUGUUAUUAGUAGACCAGAAUAGAUAAUGUUUCAUACUUGUGAAGAAGUUCUUGAAUUUUGGAUAUAUCUAGAUCCCUACGUAUUCUUGUGGCACAUGUUGACUUCACGCACAAACCCAUCAACAAUUAAUCUAUUACAUAUUUUUGUUUUGUAAUUAAAAAAAAUGAGAUUUCGAAAUUAUUGGACUUACAAUUGCAUUUUUGCACCAUUGUUUAGGUCACUGUAAGGACGGUUUGGUUUUGGAGUACAUAUUCAUCCAAAUAAUAAGCAAACAUUCCGAUAUCGUAACUUUGGUUCAGCCGAAGAUGUUAAGCCUGGAAAUUUAAUGCCGACCGCAAUGGAGGAAGUUAGAACUUAAGACAUUGGUGAGAAGGAAACUCAGAUGGCUGGGUGUAACUUCUGUAGAAAUCGAGUUGCAUACCACUUCAUAAUUUGGGCUGGCUUCGAUAUUUGCUGUGCGCCGAGUCUGAACAUCUCGCGUCAGAGUCUGUUGGCUUCUAUUGUCCUGGUGGUGGCAUAGUUGAGUCAUGGCAUCGUAGAGCUGGUUGGCUUCAAUUUUCUUGGUGUGGCGCAGAGUCGUGAGUUGCUGGGUAUCUUAGAUUUCCAUGGUGGGCGAUGGCUGGGUGUAACUUCUGUAGAAAUCGAGUUGCAUACCACUUCAUAAUUUGGGCUGGCUUCGAUAUUUGCUGUGCGCCGAGUCUGAACAUCUUGCGUCAGAGUCUGUUGGCUUCAAUUGUCCUGGUGGUGGCAUAGUCGAGUCAUGGCUUCGUAGAGUUGGUUGGCUUCAGUUUUGUAGGUGUGGCGUAGAGUCGCGAGUUGCUGGGUAUCUUAGAUUUCCAUGGUGGGCAUGUGCAGCUGAUGGAUGUGGCAGGCUGUGUAUUUUUAUGGAUGAGUUCUCGCCGUUGUCUUUAUGGAGUCCUUGUAUGUUUAUAUUUCCAAUUAAAGGCUAUAUGUGACAACAUGAUGAUGGAUGCGGCCAGCCGUGUAUUUUAAUGGUGACCGUGUCCGUAUGCACUCCUUUGCAUGUGUAUGUGUUUACGUGCUCUUGGCUUACCCAGCUGUGUAUUUUAAUGGUGACCCUGUCCGCAUGCACUCCUUUGCAUGUGUAUGUGUUUA